GACGAACGCUGGCGGCGUGCUUAACACAUGCAAGUCGAACGGAAAGGCCCUGCUUUUGUGGGGUGCUCGAGUGGCGAACGGGUGAGUAACACGUGAGUAACCUGCCCUUGACUUUGGGAUAACUUCAGGAAACUGGUGCUAAUACCGGAUAGGAGCUCCUGCUGCAUGGUGGGGUUUGGAAAGUUUCGGCUGUUGGGGAUGGACUCGCGGCUUACCAGCUUGUUGGUGGGGUAGUGGCUUACCAAGGCUUUGACGGGUAGCCGGCCUGAGAGGGUGACCGGCCACAUUGGGACUGAGGUACGGCCCAGACUCCUACGGGAGGCAGCAGUGGGGAAUAUUGCACAAUGGGCGGGAGCCUGAUGCAGCAACGCCGCGUGCGGGAUGACGGCCUUCGGGUUGUAAACCGCUUUCGCCUGUGACGAAGCGUGAGUGACGGUAAUGGGUAAAGAAGCACCGGCUAACUACGUG
rnacentral:rRNA from 1 species